UACGUAGGGUCCGAGCGUUGUCCGGAAUUACUGGGCGUAAAGAGCUCGUAGGUGGUUUGUCGCGUUGUUCGUGAAAACUCACAGCUCAACUGUGGGCGUGCGGGCGAUACGGGCAGACUUGAGUACUGCAGGGGAGACUGGAAUUCCUGGUGUAGCGGUGGAAUGCGCAGAUAUCAGGAGGAACACCGGUGGCGAAGGCGGCAUCCUGGACCGAGAUUGACGCUGAGGCGCGAAAGCCAGGGGAGCAAACGGG
rnacentral:rRNA from 1 species